rnacentral:rRNA from 1 species
GACGAACGCUGGCGGCGUGCUUAACACAUGCAAGUCGAACGGCAGCACAGGGAGCUUGCUCCCGGGUGGCGAGUGGCGCACGGGUGAGUAAUACAUCGGAACGUGUCCUGUUGUGGGGGAUAACUGCUCGAAAGGGUGGCUAAUACCGCAUGAGACCUGAGGGUGAAAGCGGGGGAUCGCAAGACCUCGCGCAAUUGGAGCGGCCGAUGCCCGAUUAGCUAGUUGGUGGGGUAAAGGCUCACCAAGGCGACGAUCGGUAGCUGGUCUGAGAGGACGACCAGCCACACUGGGACUGAGACACGGCCCAGACUCCUACGGAGGCAGCAGUGGGGAAUUUUGGACAAUGGGGGCAACCCUGAUCCAGCCAUGCCGCGUGCAGGAUGAAGGCCUUC